rnacentral:rRNA from 1 species
UGCUUUAUGCGUAUAAAAUAUAAAGUUUAUUCUGCUCCAUGACUUACGAGUUAAAUAGCCGCGGUAUCCUGACUGUGCUAAGGUAGCGUGAUAAUUCGUCCUUUAAUUGUGGACUUGUACGAAUGAAUGCACGAAAAUUAAGCUGUCUCUAAAUUACUUGUAGAAAUUAAUAUUAAGGUGAAAAAGCUUUAAUAUUUAUAUAGGACAAAAAGACCCUAUAGAGCUUAGAUUUUAAAUUAUAAAUAGAAAAAUAAUCUUAUAUUUUUUAUUUAAAAAUUUAAAAACUUAACUGGGGCGGUUUAUGAAGUUUAUAAUCUUCUUAUUUCUAAAAAAAUUUAUAUGUUGAUUAAGUUAAUAGAUCCUUUUAAAGAUAACUAGAAUAGCUACCUUAGGGGUAACAGACUAAUUUUUUUUGAGAGUUCGUAUUGACAAAAAAGUUUGGCACAUCGAUGUUGGCUUAGGAUAUCCUAAAGAUAGUAGCAGUCUUUAUUGGUAGGUUUGUUCAACCUUUAAAAUCCU